AUUGAACGCUGGCGGCAUGCCUAACACAUGCAAGUCGAACGAGUGGCGGACGGGUGAGUAAUGUCUAGGCAACUGCCUGCUGGCGGGGGAUAACUACUGGAAACGGUAGCUAAUACCGCAUACUAUCGGAUGUGCCCAGAUGGGAUUAGCUAGUAGGUGGGGUAAAGGCUCACCUAGGCGACGAUCCCUAGCUGGUCUGCGAGGGUGACCAGCCACACUGGGACUGAGACACGGACCAGACUCCUACGGGAGGACGCAGUGGGGAAUAUUGGACAAUGGGCGCAAGCCGGAUGCAGCCAUGCCGCGUGUAUGAAGAAGGCCUUCGGGUUGUAAAGUACUUUUGUCAGGGAGGCGGUACCCGCAGAGAAAGCACCGGCUAACUACGUGCCAGCAGCCGCGGUAAUUC
rnacentral:rRNA from 1 species